CUGGACCUACGGGACGCAGCAGUGGGGGAUAUUGCACAAUGGGGGAAACCCUGAUGCAGCGACGCCGCGUGGGCGAAGAAGUAUUUCGGUAUGUAAAGCCCUAUCAGCAGGGAAGAAGAAAUGACGGUACCUGAGUAAGAAGCACCGGCUAAAUACGUGCCAGCAGCCGCGGUAAUACGUAUGGUGCAAGCGUUAUCCGGAUUUACUGGGGGUAAAGGGAGCGCAGGCGGCACGGCAAGCCUGAUGUGAAAGCCCGCGGCCCAACCGCGGGACCGCAUCGGGAACUCCCGGGCUGGAGUUCCGGG
rnacentral:rRNA from 1 species